GUCAACGAGAAUAAGAAGCGUAUCCUGUCAAAGUCAAUGUGAUGAAGAAAGGAAAAGCACACAAAACCACAUGAACAGUAGCAGAGAUCUUCUAUAUAAGCCAGUAUAUACAACAUUCAAUUCUAGGUUCUUCUUUAUAAACAGAAUAAUUACUUAUGUAUUGUCUAGCUCCUUUCAUAUUCUUAAUGCGUAAUAAGCAUGAGAACUUUUAAUUUUCAUUUAUAUUUCAUGCUAGAGCCUUCAAUUAUUAUAAAAGAAACAGUCAUUUGCAAAUACAAUUCGGUCACAUUAGUUGUUACUAAGACCGCAUAUUCUCAAAAGACAGUAACAUAUAACGUGCCCAAUCCUUCAUGACUAGUCAGCCAACUGAAAAACCUGAUCAAGAGCAUCUUCUAAUUGAAAGCUUACCAGUCUUUGUCAUUUCAAGAGGAGAUAUCCUUGCAGUAUAAUAUGUACCCCUUGUGCUAAGUUCCUGAACGCUGAAUCUGCACAAGCCUUCAAGGACAACUGUAUAGGUAA